CUGCUGUGCCAUUUUCAUGUGGCACAGGCGGAAUGGCGAUGGCUAACACUUGCAAAGCAUGGAGUUGGUCCAAGUGCAAGGAAGUUGCUGAUGUCCAUUUUUCAGAUGGUCAUGUAUGCUGACGGUGCCGAUGUCAUGGAAGCAGCGAUGCAGGAGCUUUGCACCUAGCAGCAAGAGGGCUACAUCAGCCAUGUUAAAGCAUUCCUUGAACGAAAAGCAGAAUGGGGGCUAUUGUUCCGGUUGGCCAUGAGGACUAGAGGCCAUAAUACAAACAAAUAUUCAGAAGCGUCUAUUAGAAUAUUGAAAGACAUUGUUCUGCACCUAACCAAAGCAUUUAAUGUUGUUGCUCUAGCUGAAUUCAUCAUUGUUGUGUGGGAGAGAUACUUCCAGCACAGAAGACUUGACCACGCACGUUCACGUGUUUCUGGGCACAGCCUUCUAUAUGACAACCUAUUGAAGAGGUUGCCAGGAGGCAUUCGAGAGGUAAAAUGUGACAGAAAUGGACAGUGCAUUGUACCAAGCACUAGUGAGGACAAGUACUACAGCGUAUAUGCUGAUGUCAGCUUGUGUACGUGCAGGUCAGGGCAGCAAGGUGCCUUUUGUAAGCACCAGGCACUUGUGCACAAAGUGUAUGGUGGAGCAUUCCCCAAUGCCCUUCUGCUUUCUAAGCAAAGCCGAUAUGAGCUCGGAAAGCUUGCUCUAGGGGACAGAUGCCCUAGUAUUGGGUUUGUUGAGGGCCUCCAUGAAACGGCUGCACAGCCAGCAGACACAGCAUGCAUGGAUACAAUUCCACACUGCUUGGAUGGUCCAGAAGCAGCCUCUACACAAAUGCAGCAUGGGCUUCCAAGGAGCUCGGAAGGUUCACCAGCACAACUAGUGAGCCAGAUUUAACAGGCAGAUCCAUUUGAGCACCUUGCAGCAACUUUUCGGCACUUCAAGGAACAAGUUGGUGAUGACCUGAAGCAUGUGGCCAGGCUCAGAAAAAAAAAUUAAAUAAGCUACCCAGUAAAGAGAGCUUUAUCGAGGCUAGGAUAACAAUGUCAACGUCUGUCUCCAGAGCUUCAAGGUGCCAGGGCAGAAUACAUGUGCAGCCAACGAGCACUUCAAGGAGAGGCCUGGCCUCAACAGAGGUUCCAAACGUGUUCCUCCAGGAAGGCCAACAAACAGUCCUGCACCAAAGAGAGCCAAGCGGAGCCACUCACUGCGCCGCUGUGUUGAAGACAAUGUCCCAUCUCUAAGGUGAUCCUGUGCUGCUGCAUCUGUGCACCCAGUGUGUGUUUGUGUCCAAGUCAGAAAUGUGCAGUUUGUGAAGGUGUUUCUUUAUAGGGAAAGGGAAGCGCUGCACCGCUGUGUUGAGCUCAAUGUCCCACCCGCAGAGGCAAAGACCUCACCGAGGCUAUAAACCGAGCGGGACGGCUCAUCCUCAACAGCGGAGGACCCACCUACGUCCAUCGUGGAGUGAGCACAGCCAUCAACCUCACACUUGCCAUAGAGCAGUGCUCCUACUCCUAGGCCACAGCUCCAGACACAUGGGGGGUCGGACCAUUUUCUUAUUGUGAUCAACCUGGUGUCUGGGAGCAGGCCAAGGUUAAGGACUUACCACGUC